AUUGAACGCUGGCGGCAGGCCUAACACAUGCAAGUCGAGCGAGCGGCGGACGGGUGAGUAAUGUCUGGGAAACUGCCCGAUGGAGGGGGAUAACUACUGGAAACGAUAGCUAAUACCGCAUACACUCACAUGUGCCCAAAUGGGAUUAGCUCGUAGUUGGGGUAACGCCUCACCAAGGCGACGAUCCCUAGCUGGUCUGAGAGGAUGACCAGCCACAAUGGAACUGAGACACGGGCCAGACUCGUACGGGAGGAAGCAGUGGGGAAUAUUGCACAAGGGGAGAAAGACUGAUGCAGCCAUGCCGCGUGUGUGAAGAAGGCCUUCGGGUUGUAAAGCACUUUCAGCGGGGAGGAGUUACCCGCAGAAGAAGCACCGGCUAACUCAGUGCCAGCAGCCGCGGUAAUAC
rnacentral:rRNA from 1 species